rnacentral:lncRNA from 1 species
CAGGAGCGGGGGAGCUCGGCUGGGAGCUACGGCUGCCCCUUCGCGGGGGGCAAGGGGCUGUUCGGAAGAAGAUUGUCAGGACGUUCUACAUAGAUGUGGAUGAAAGACUACAGAAGGAAGGAGCAACAAACGUCAAAAACAAAACCAUGGCUAUAAACUCUGCUGGGUUUGUUAUAUGGAUUCUUUUCAGAAUUUGGCUAAUGACUGAAAAUCUAAGUUCCAGCUCAACUAGUAUAUGAUUCCUCUGUAAGGAAGUGUAUUUUUAAACCAUAGGUUGCGACAUAAUAAUGGGUUGUGGAUUCGGUUUACCGCGUGGUGACCAGCGUAAAACACAUGCAUAAUAAUUACGCAAUAUUAUAGAAUGUCGGGGGCGGGAAGGGAAUAAAAAUUUGCAUCCCACACAGUAAGGGUAAGUAAUAUUUUGUGACUUGUUUUUUAGGUAGAUCAUGUGAUCAAGGUCUUUUAUUCCUCUUAGAAGAUGCAUCCCUUACUACUUUAAUCCAGUCUCUUCCCCACCAUGUUCUUGAAAGUGUACUUUACCAGUGGCUUCCUUCUUUGCAGAAAUUCCUUUUCAACCUCACGAAGUAUUUUUCUUGACUUUAUUUCUUAAGAUAAGUGAUUUGCCUGAAUAACCUCUUUUAAAUUUCUUGAUGUUUCAUCUGUUUACUUUUAAGAAUUGAAAUUUUCUUCCAGAAUCUCCGAACAAGACCCUAAGCUAUGACAUCCAGUUCAAUGACUAUUCGUCUCCCAAAUAUACGUACGCUUUUAAUAAAUAUGUAAAUCUUUGGACCACCUUCCAAGUAUGGUGUGUUCAACAGAUAGUAGUAUGUUACUACCGUCUGUAACUAAAAUUUUCAGGGGCUUAACACAAGAGUAAUUUCUUUCUGGCUCAUAUAACACUUUAAUAAUGCAGGUGUCAUAAUGUCAGUGGACCCAGUCUCCUUCCAUACCUUAGAACAGGGGUCAAGAAACAUUUUCUGUAAAGGGCCACAUAGUGUUUUAGGCUUUGUGAGCCAUAAGGUCUGUCUCAACUAUUUAACUCUGCCUCUGCAGCUGUUGCUCCACAGACAAUACUUGAAAAUAAAUGGGCAUGGUUAUGUUCUAGUGAAAUUUUAUUUACAAAUCCAGGCAGCCUGCUUGGACAAAAAAAAAAAAAAAAAAAAAAAA